GAUGAACGCUGGCGGCGUGCCUAAUACAUGCAAGUCGAGCGAACAGACGAGGAGCUUGCUCCUCUGACGUUAGCGGCGGACGGGUGAGUAACACGUGGAUAACCUAUCUAUAAGACUGGGAUAACUUCGGGAAACCGGAGCUAAUACCGGAUAAUAUAUUGAACCGCAUGGUUCAAUAGUGAAAGACGGUUUUGCUGUCACUUAUAGAUGGAUCCGCGCCGCAUUAGCUAGUUGGUAAGGUAACGGCUUACCAAGGCAACGAUGCGUAGCCGACCUGAGAGGGUGAUCGGCCACACUGGAACUGAGACACGGUCCAGACUCCUACGGGAGGCAGCAGUAGGGAAUCUUCCGCAAUGGGCGAAAGCCUGACGGAGCAACGCCGCGUGAGUGAUGAAGGUCUUCGGAUCGUAAAACUCUGUUAUUAGGGAAGAACAAAUGUGUAAGUAACUAUGCACGUCUUGACGGUACCUAAUCAGAAAGCCACGGCUAACUACGUG
rnacentral:rRNA from 1 species